UGAUUAAAGUGCAGUUAAGGCGCCAUUUAUGGCUUAAUAGGGAAUUCGGUUAAAAUCCGGAACUGUACCCGCAACUGUGAAUGCUGAUGAAAUAAGUAAUCCACUGUGAAGAGACUUCAUGGGAAGGGCUUAGAGUAAAGGGAAGCAUGAGUCAGGAGACCUGCCUUAUCGAGCAAUCGUUUU
rnacentral:ncRNA from 20 species